rnacentral:snoRNA from 1 species
GUCAAUGACGAAACCGGCACUGUCUGAGUGGUGAUGAGCACUCGGUUGGCCGAGAC